CCCCCCUCGCUCUCCGCGCCCCUCCUCGCUCUCCGCGCCGCGCGCCCCCUCGCUCUCCGCGCCCCCCUCGCUCUCCGCGCCCCUCCUCGCUCUCCGCGCCGCGUGCCCCCUCGCUCUCCGCGCCCCGCCCCCCCCGCUCUCCGCGCCGCCCCCUCGCUCUCCGCGCCGCACCGGCCUCCCCCGGGUCCAGCGCAGUCCUGCCAGGAGGGCCUGUCGCGCAUCCGGCGCGGAUGUCCUCCGGGGCCCCGAGCUAAGAGCUCCCAGCACGUCGACUCGUUCCGCCUUCCCAACAACCAGAGUGGGGCGGGUACUGUUAUUGCCCCCUUGCUCGGAGGCGGUCGCGGAGGCCGGACGACAGGCGAGGUCGGGAGCCGGAGGCGGUGCCGGUGCACAUCGCCCUUGGGGUCUGCAGGCAGUUGGCGCGCCCUUGGAUCACACGCUGGGAUGCAGCAGACAUUGGCGAGGUCUCCUUGGGGAGGGGGCGUGUAACUGCCUGCUGAGGAAGGUGAGGCAGACCCUUGAACCCAAAACGGUGGACUGCAGUAGAGCACAGCAAUUUGCUUAAAAGGUUCAUGGGCCCUCCGUACCAGAGAAUCAGAAAAUACCGGAGAACCAGGAGCCUGGGGGAGCGCGGAGAGGCGAAGCUUGGCCCGGCCUCGCAGGAAACACCAGGAACUCCGGAGAGACCUUCACUGAGUUCUGGCGAAACGAGUGAGUUGACUGAGUCCUCUACAUGCCUGGCGCUGUGUGGAGUGUUUCCCCGCAUCGUCUCAUCCAAUCCUCAGAAAUAAUCGUGUGCAGGAAGUGCCGUUACUUUCCUUUCUUUUACAAAUAAAGAACCAAUGCUCAGAGAGGGCAAGUGAUUUGCCCAAGAUCACACAGCCCACAAGUGUCAGAACCAGGAUCCCAGCCCAGACCCGCAGGCUCUGGCGUCUACCCUUGUAACCCUGGCACCUGAGUCUCCCAAACUCCCUUCUGCUCCGAGUGUUGUGUCAUCCGUGCUCUGUCUUCCUUCCUCUGUGUUCUAAAUGGACUCCCCACUCGCCCUUUUUUUUUUUUUUUAACUAAACCUGUUUCUGUACAAAAGAAACCGUAUAUCAUUAGCAGAAAUGGAGAACCUAUAUCAUUUAUCACGAAUGGAAGAUGAUGGAAAUAAACCCAAUGGGAGCC
rnacentral:lncRNA from 1 species